CUUCUGCAGUGCUACAGUUCCACUUGUUGGCAAUUUUUGGUACUAAAUUUGUUUUCUUUUGGAAUCGGAAUCGCAUGUUCCACUAUCUAUGUCCGCGAAAUUUUGUUGUUUCGUCCCAUACGUGACAUGCUGGAAGACUCUGAACAUUUAAUUUUAUGUUAUUUUAUGGUCACCUGGUAUAUCCAACAGUGUACUGGAGUCAACUCAUACAAGCUGAUUCCAGCAAACCACUGGAAGUAUGGAUUUUAUGAACUGGUUGUUAAGCAAAACAAUGAUUUUUUGUCAAUAGAUGAUGCCAAUUCUUUUUUUAUAGAGUAUAUUAAUGCUAAUUUUAUAUAUGUCAUCCUAUUAUCGAACAAUAUAGUAAUGAUUAAAUGGCAAAAAUUUACCAAACAGUAUCCUUUCUAGAAUAAGAAAAAGCAUUCUAGGAACAUAACCC
rnacentral:lncRNA from 1 species